rnacentral:rRNA from 1 species
ACUUUACUCUAUCGCUAAUACGAUAAUAACAAGUUAUACUGGGAAAAUUAAUAUGAGUCAUCAAGAGUAGCUAUUAGUAAAAUUCAAAAUUAAAGCUAUAGGAUAUAAGUACUGAAAAGGAAAUAAUAUAAUAAUGAUUUAAAAUAACAUAGUAGAUUUAAGACAUUGUACCUUGUGUAUCAGGGAUAAUUAAAUUGUGGCAUAUAAAACAUGCGUAUCCCGAACUAAAGAUAGCUAGUAUUUUGAGCAAGUUUUUGUAGCAAAAAAAAUUUGAAAUUUAAUACUAAAGAUGAAACGUCAACCGAGCUUUAAGUUAUCUGGUUCUCUGAGAAUAGAAUAUAAUUCUGCCAUUAAGUGAUCUUUACUUAAUGAUAAAGGAUAGGAGGGACGAGCUUCUUAUUACUAAAAUAAUCAAAUUAUAGAUAAGACAAAUUUUAACUUUUCUAGGCUUAAAAGUAGCCACGAUUGUAAAGUGUUUCAAUUUAGGUUUCAUUUCAUAACAAUUUAUCUUACCUUAAAGAAUUACCAGAGUAUUAAACAAAAUUUCGAUAUUUAAGAAAAAAUGAUUUUAUGAGUAAACUUUAUUAUUUGUAGUAAUAAGUACGUAGAAUGAGUUAAGUAAUUUGUAUUAAGUUGAAGAAACAAGAAAGGAACUCGGCAAUAAUUUCUUCUUGCCUGUUUAUCAAAAACAUGGCUAUUACGAAAAUGUUUAUAGUCUAGCCUGCUCACUGAUAAUUAAUAUUAAAUAGCCGCGGUAUCUUGACCGUGCAAAGGUAGCAUAAUCAUUAGUUUUUUAAUUGGGAACUCGUAUGAAUGGUUGGACAAAGAAGAAACUGUCUCUCUUGUUAAAGUUGAAUUUAACUUCUAAGUGAAAAGGCUUAGAUUGUCUAGAGGGACGAUAAGACCCUAUAAAGCUUUAUAAAUUUAGGGAUUUUAUAAAUUUUUAAAUAACAAUAAUUUUUCGAUUAUUUAUUUGGUUGGGGCGACAAUAGUAUAAUGAAAGUAACUGCUUUUAGAUAAAACAUGAGUAUGUGAGUCAUAUUUAAUUGAUCCUUUUUAAAGAUUUUAAGAUCAAGUUACUUUAGGGAUAACAGCGUUAUUUCUUCUGAGAGUUCUUAUCAAAGGAGAAGUUUGCGACCUCGAUGUUGAAUUAAAAUGUCUAUGUAGUGCAGCAGCUACACAAGAAGGUCUGUUCGACCUUUAAUAUUUUACAUGAUUUGAGUUCAGACCGGCGGGAGCCAGGUCGGUUUCUAUCUUCUAGAAAAAUAAAGACCACUUUAGUACGAAAGGAUUGAGUGGUCAAAAUUCUUUUCACAUCUGAAAU